AUCGAUCAGACUAACAACAAACUAAGAUGUUGCUAGAAGUUAGUGUGGUUGAUUUCUCUUUAUCACCGUCGAAAACACUGAAUUUCGCCGAAUCAUAUGAAAUUUUGGGGAAUUUUCGUAUUUUCCGAGGGAUGAAUGAUAUCUUCCAUCCAAUACCCAAAAAAAAGUGUGAAAUUUUAAACCCUGAAUACGUCCGCAAGAACACACCGCUAGCGAAUUUUCCAAUCGACGUACCUUGACGUUGCCGGUCUCCUUGAUGGCGUCGAUGAGCCUGGUCUGGUCGGCGAUCUGCCGCACCCCGACCGUGGAGAUGACCACAUCCGCGGCCUUGACGGCGCUCACCAAGCUGGCGUGGUCGCCCAGGUCGCCCUUGAGGAGCGUGACGCCGGCGUCCUGGAAGCUCUUGAGCAGCGCCGUCUUGGCCGCGUCGGAGGGCGCCGUGUCCCUGACGAGCGCCAAGGUCGGGUGGCCCAGCCGCGCGCUCGCCGCGACGACGUGCCUGCCCAGGUACCCCGUGGCGCCGACCACCAGGAUCUUGCUCUUCUCCGACGCCAUCCUGGCUCGUGAACUGGAUGCCUCGAUUGGUUAAUGGCAGUCGUGGUCUGGCGAGGUGGAGCCGUGGAGGAAGAAGAUUGCAGGAGCGAGAGUGCGAGACUGGUCACCUCACUUGUGGCAGUCUUGCUCUGCGUCACUCGUGGCUUCGUGAGAUCAGAUGGCGACAGACAGAGCACGCCAGUGCAGGCCCAGGGCGAAUGCCUGCGAUUUUUUUUUAUUGACGCCUACAUUUUUCUGUACUUGUCGUUUUUCUAGUGCGCCUGGACCGCUAGACGCUAGUCUUGUAGAGGCGAAGGUCGUUUUCUGCUCAUGAAGUCAUGGGUGAUUAGUUGAUGUUUACGACAGCAGGACAUAACAAGAUGCCCGUCAAUUUGACUGUCCAAAAGGUCAGCUAAUAAUUCCGACCAAGGGGUUCAGUAUUUUGUUUGGUCAAAGGAGUUGGAUGAGUUGAAGGUUUUAGCUUUUAACUUAUGGGAGCAUCAGUUAGUUAGGCCCUCCUCUAGUCCAUGGACUAAAGUUUAAUCCAUGAACUAAAUUUUAGUCACACCCUUAUUCGGUUCCAUGGACUAAAAUGGACUGAAGUCCAUAAAUGCUGUUAAACAAAGAUCCUUUUACCCUUCUUCCCUACUCCUUGGUACCCCUACGCCUACUCCUUCCUGGCACGAAACCAACCCAAAGCGUUCGAUUUAGAAGCGGCCGGAGCCGGAGACGUGGGCCGUCGCUGGAUCUGCGGGCGCCUCCUCCUCCAUCCCCGUGGCCGGCAGCAUCGUCCCCCAAUCAAUCCGGCCCCCGGUGAGCUACCACGACCACCGAUGAUGGCAGGCGAGCACAGCAAUCAGCAGCGGCUGGGGUCGCCACCGGUGGUGGCGCGCUCCUCGACCCGUCACGGUCGGGCCCCACCAUUAUCUGCACCUAAUCUAUUCAGGGGCGACAGCGGCGGUGGCGACUGGCGAUGGCGUCCGCUCUCUCCUCCUCUGCUGUUGUGGGGUGCUGCGCUGGAAGGGAGGGCGGCGGGUGGCAACAGGCGGUGGGAGGGAGGGUGGCGGGUGGCGACGGCAGCGGGCGAGAGGGAGGCCGGGUGGGAGGGAGGUGGCAGGCGGUGACAGGUGACAAGAGGGAGGGCAGCGGGCGGUGACGGCGACGGCGACGGGCGGGAGGGAGGCCAGGUGGGAGGGAGGCGGCGGGCGGGAGGGAGUCGGGUGGGAGGGGGCAGUAAAUGAGGGGUAGGGGUGUCCCUAACACUCUUUAGUCCAUUUUAGUCCAGUUUUGUGGACUAAAGGACUAAGGGUUUUAGUCCUACUUUUAGUCCAAGUGUUUGGGUGUUUAGUCCAACUAAAGUGCACAUUUUAGUCCAAAUUUUAGUUCAUGGUGGGAACCAAACACCCGAACAUACUAGAAUCUAUUAAACUAACAACUCACUGGCUGCAGCGUAUAUAGACAAUCACAAUACCUUAGUUUUCUCACACACUUUCAGUAAAAUCAAUAGUAGUUCAGCAGGCAAGAAUAAGCAUGUGUUUGGAUUGAGGGUCGAAGUAGGUUGGGAUAGGUUCGACCUACUUUGACCCAUGUGUUAGUUGGAAAGUCAUGUGGGUUGGGUCGAACCUAGUAGGGAAUAUUCCCUGUAGAUGUGGGUUCGUCUCGUCCGCCCAAAACGUGCGGACCGCGUCGACCCACUUUGUUCCCCUCGCAUGCCGUCUGACUCCAUUCGUGGGGAUGGGCUCCAAGUGCGGCGGGCUGCCGUGCGGACGCAGCGUGGAGGUGAAUCCAGUGGAGCAAGACCGUGCGGGCCCCGUGGCAUGGAAGCGUCGGCCGGCGGAGGAAGGGCCGCCCCAGGGAGCUCCGUUGCCGACCGCCCUAGGGAAGCUCCGUGGCCAGCCGCCCCAGGGAGCUUCGCCACCGGCCGGCCGAGGGUUCCGCCCAGGGGAACUCCGCUCGCUAGUUGGGGCUGGGAGACGGGCGACGGCGGUCGGAGCGACAGGGAGAGGGUAGGUGAGUGGUGGGCGGCACGGUGCAGGGGGAGAGGCUAGCCAGGGCUAAGCGAUGGGCGAGCGGCGAGGAGAGGCUUGAGCGUAGGGAGGCUUCGGGUGCUUGACUGCUUGGCCCAACCAGAGGAAGAAGAUAAGGUGCUGGAAAAAAAAUAGAGAAUGACAGAUGGGAUCCACAUCUGACAGGUGGGAUCUGCUAGUAACCGAUGCUAACGGUGUUAAAGAGGACAUCUUCCAUCCCUCUCAACCCCUCCAACCAAAUAAAAAACUGGAACGGACUCAUCCCUCCAAACCAAACAAGAUAUAGGAUGAACCCAACCCAAAAAAGUGGGUUGGACCCAAUCCAUUUCAUCCUAAAACCAAACACACGCCAAGAUGGUGACUUGAUCAUUUGGAACCACAGUUCAGACGGCAAGAGUGACAGUGAGACGGCAAGAGUGACAGUGACUUGUGGCAUUGCAGAAUAGUACUCCAUCCGUCCUAAAUUGCAGGCCGUUCUAGCUUUUCUAAUUGUAUACCUAAAUAUAGUGUAUGUCUAGAUGCAUACAAAUAUCUAUGAACUAAAAAAUUUAAAAUGACCUACAAUUUGAAAGGGAGGGAAUAUGUACUACUGGUUUCUUUAAUUUUUGAGUGUAACAACAUAGUGAACCCCAGAAAACAAAGCACAAGCACUCCAUCUCAGCCUUCUCAGGUUGAGUAGAUCCAUCGGCUGGAAACUGAUCCUAAUUGGCGUUACAAAUGUCAAUUCUCCUUUUACGGGAUAACUGAAUAAUCCACAUUUGCACACUACCUUGAGACUUUUUUAACCUAUUGCUUGAUGUAUACAUAUCAACGUAUGUACGUAUAUGAGAAAAUAAAUCUCGAUUUCGACAUGAGUCCUAGCUAGUGCAAUUGAAAAAAAAAUAUGGGAAGUGCUAGCGCCCGAACGUCCGAUAAUUUUUUUUAUCGGACGCUCCGUCGCAACAUUAAAAAAUAACUAUCGAAACAUCAAAACUCAACACUUGCAACAACAAGGAUUGCAACACCUUUAUGUGCAUGAAACAUCACAAACCGCUUCAUGCAAUAUUCAAAACAGACACAUUGCAAUAAAAAUAAAAGCAUCUCUUACAGCAUUGCAACAACGUAAAGAAGAAGAGAUCAAAACAAAGGAAACAACUAUAUGCAACAUCAUGAACAAGUUGGUGCAACACCCGAUUGCUGACAAAUCAGACUGUUGCAAAACAGAUGAAACAUCAAAAGCCACCGUUGCAACAUCCAAAAAUAACCAUUGCAACACCAUGAGGUACCUAUUGCAACACUUAGAUCCACGACAACCAGCCUGCCCGUUGUCGGCCGAAGGAGAGGAGAUGUUGCCGGAUCUGAGGAGGCUGCCGCCGGCAGGGGAGGGUCAGGGGCUUGCUCAGAUCUCGCCGGGGUCGGAGAGAGGGCCACUGGAUCCGAGGGCGUUGGGCACUCUCGGUGGGUUGAGGACGCCGGAGUGGGGAGGAGGGGCGCCGCCUGGGUGGGGGACGAGGCCGCCGGGGUGGAAGAGUGCGAUGCCGUUGAGGUGGGGAGGAGGACGCCGGUGUGGGGCGCGGGUGGGGGACGAGGCCGCCGGGUGGGGGAGCGCGACGCCGUCGAGGUGGGCAAGGAGGACGCCGGCGUGGGGCGCGGGUGGGAGAUAAGGCUGCCGGAGUGGAGGAGGAGGACACCGGGGUGGAAGGUUGAAGAAAAAAGAGGAUGGGGAAGAAAAAGAACUGUGGGAAUGGAUAGGAAGCGGAGGGGAGCGGAACGACAUCCGACACGUCCGGGCGCCCGGACGGUAGCGUUUCCGAAAAAAUAUAUAGCAUCUAUUUAUUCCACGCUUGAGCCCAAUAAAGCUUUCGUACGAAGGGAAGAAUUGAAUUGUAAGUGACAUGUGCACGUUUCCUCACCAAAGGUCCACAAAAGUAGCUAGGUACCUCGAUCACACACAGACAGCACCCUGAACGCAUGAUCAUCUCCAUAUCAAAGACCGUACACAUCCAUUUCAAUCAGAGCAACCUGUUGCGAUAGUCAUCGACGGUGGUGUACUUCACGUCUGGGUAGAGCUCGCUCGCGUCCACCCCUGACGAUGGAUCGACCUCCAGCUUGCUCUGCUCCCCCUGGAUGUGCGUCGCGUGCCCGAUCGACAGUAUGAAGUUCAGCGGAAACGAAGCCUCUGCGGCCGAUCGAAUCGUCAACCACUCAUAUAGGAGUAACACAUAUCAGUUCAAAUUUCAGCACAGAGAAGUGAGAAGCCAUGUUGUUCUAGAAAGAAAGCUUCUUAUUACCUGGGUUCUCCUUGAGCACGGCGUCCUCGGCGACGUGCACCCGCUCGAACGCCCUGCCGGUCUUCCCCUCCCACAUCGCCAGGAGCUCGUUGUGCGACAGCGUGUUGGCCGGCGGCCUGAUGUGCAGCGUCCUGUUCUCGGCGCGGGGGUCGCUGGCGGCGAGCACCGUGUAUGCCGCGAUGUCCGCCUCGUCCACGAACACCACCCCCGUGUCGCCGUCGCCGAGGACGAGGGCCUUGUCGACCGGGGGUGACUGGGACAGGACCUGCCCGAUGCUGGGCAGCCCGUAGCCGAAGAAUUAGCCGGCCAGCACGUGGGGACGCCCGCGGCCUCGACGGCGCGGCGGAUCGCCGCCUUGCUCGCGUUGAUGAGGGACCUCGUCGGCUCCACCGCGUCCGAGCGGUCGGCGUCCAGGCCGAACUCCGACGGGAAGAACCUCUGCGUCUGUGUACGAUCCGAUCGGUCAGACGAGCAGCAAACAUUCAUCUAGCGAAUUUUCCGGCAGGGUCGAUGCGUGUACCUUGACGUUGCCGGCCUCCUUGAUGGCGGCGGCGAGCUUGGUCUGGUCGGGGAUCUGCAUGAUUCCGACCGUGGAGAUGACCACGUCCGCGAGCUUGACGGCGCUUACCAGGCCGGCGUGGUCGUCCAGGUCGCCCUUGAGGAGCGUGACGCCGGCGUCCUGGAAGCUCUUGAGCAGCGCCGCCUUGGCCGCGUCGGACGGCGCCGUGUCCCUGACGAGCGCCAAGGUCGGGUGGCCCAGCCGCGCGCUCGCCGCGACGACGUGCCGGCCCAGGUACC
rnacentral:lncRNA from 1 species